rnacentral:rRNA from 1 species
CCUACGGGAGGCAGCAGUGAGGAAUAUUGGUCAAUGGUCGGGAGACUGAACCAGCCAAGCCGCGUGAGGGAGGAAGGUACAGAGUAUCGUAAACCUCUUUUGUCAGGGAACAAAGACUGGGACGCGUCCCCGGAUGAGUGUACCUGAAGAAAAAGCAUCGGCUAACUCCGUGCCAGCAGCCGCGGUAAUACGGAGGAUGCGAGCGUUAUCCGGAUUUAUUGGGUUUAAGGGGUGCGCAGGCGGUCUGUUAAGUCAGCGGUCAAAGCCCGGGGCUCAACCCCGGCCCGCCGUUGAAACUGGCAGUCUAGAGUUGGAGAGAAGUAUGCGGAAUGCGCGGUGGAGCGGUGAAAUGCAUAGAUAUCGCGCAGAACUCCGAUGGCGAAGGCAGCAUGUCGGCUCCACACUGACGCUGAGGCACGAAAGCGUGGGUAUCGAACAGGAUUAGAUACCCGUGUAGUC